rnacentral:rRNA from 1 species
AUUGAACGCUGGCGGCAUGCUUUACACAUGCAAGUCGAACGGUAACAGGUUAAGCUGACGAGUGGCGAACGGGUGAGUAAUGCAUCGGAACGUGCCCGGUCGUGGGGGAUAACGCAGCGAAAGCUGCGCUAAUACCGCAUACGAUCUGAGGAUGAAAGCGGGGGACCGUAAGGCCUCGCGCGAUCGGAGCGGCCGAUGUCAGAUUAGGUAGUUGUUGGGGUAAAGGCUCACCAAGCAAACGAUCUGUAGCUGGUCUGAGAGGACGACCAGCCACACUGGGACUGAGACACGGCCCAGACUCCUACGGGAGGCAGCAGUGGGGAAUUUUGGACAAUGGGCGAAAGCCUGAUCCAGCAAUGCCGCGUGCAGGAAGAAGGCCUUCGGGUUGUAAACUGCUUUUGUACGGAGCGAAAAGGUCUCCUCUAAUACAGGGGGCUCAUGACGGUACCGUAAGAAUAAGCACCGGCUAACUACGUGCCAGCAGUCGCCGUAA